rnacentral:misc_RNA from 1 species
GAUGGUUUGGAUAUGAGAAAGGCACUAUCGCGAGAUGUAGAAAAGAAGUCUAUCAUCCCUCUUAAACGACCGGUAACUCCAGAUGAAUUGGAGUAUGACUGAGUCGGUAAGAGUUGUUACCCCAUGUAAUCUUAUCUUUCAAGAAGCUAAGUUUAGGGUAUCGACAAGUCUUGUCUAGAAAUGUAUGAGAUGAAGAGUCUGGGUUCUUAUCUAUAGUACUGUUGUGCCAUUAUGUUUAAGAACCAAGUGCUAGAAUUUCUGGCCUUGUGUAUUU